AUUGGACGCUGGCGGCAUGCCUUACACAUGCAAGUCGAACGGUAACAGGUCUUCGGAUGCUGACGAGUGGCGAACGGGUGAGUAAUACAUCGGAACGUGCCUAGUAGUGGGGGAUAACUACUCGAAAGAGUGGCUAAUACCGCAUGAGAUCUACGGAUGAAAGCAGGGGAUCGCAAGACCUUGUGCUACUAGAGCGGCCGAUGGCAGAUUAGGUAGUUGGUGGGAUAAAAGCUUACCAAGCCGACGAUCUGUAGCUGGUCUGAGAGGACGAUCAGCCACACUGGGACUGAGACACGGCCCAGACUCCUACGGGAGGCAGCAGUGGGGAAUUCUGGACAAUGGGCGCAAGCCUGAUCCAGCAAUGCCGCGUGCAGGAUGAAGGCCUUCGGGUUGUAAACUGCUUUUGUACGGAACGAAAAGCCCUGGGUUAAUACCCUGGGGUCAUGACGGUACCGUAAGAAUAAGCACCGGCUAACUACGUGCCAGCCGCCGCGGUAAUAC
rnacentral:rRNA from 1 species